AUUGAACGCUGGCGGCAGGCCUAACACAUGCAAGUCGAACGAGUGGCGGACGGGUGAGUAAUGUCUGGGAAACUGCCCGAUGGAGGGGGAUAACUACUGGAAACGGUAGCUAAUCCCGCAUACCAUCGGAUUUGCCCAGAUGGGAUUGGCUAGUAGGUGGGGUAACAGCUCACCUAGGCGACGAUCCCUAGCUGGUCUGAGAGGAUAACCAGCCACACUGGAACUGAGACACGGUCCAGACUCCUACGGGAGGACGCAGUGGGGAAUAUUGCACAAUGGGCGAAAGCCUGAUGCAGCCAUGCCGCGUGUAUGAAGAAGGCCUUCGGGUUGUAAAGUACUUUCAGCGAGGAGGCGUUACUCGCAGAAGAAGCACCGGCUAACUCCGUGCCAGCAGCCGCGGUAAUUC
rnacentral:rRNA from 1 species